UCUAUAAUGUAGCCUACUAAAGACGGUUUCAAGCCCGUGUAAAUACAGAGAAUAGA
rnacentral:ribozyme from 2 species